ensembl:lncRNA
GGCAAUUACGUCAAUAUUAGUGUCGGGUAACCAAAGGUCAUGCUAAAGACAAACGCGAGUCAGACGGAAGGAAACAGACAGAAUGGCGGUGGUAAACUUCACUGUUGUGCUUUACAACUGCAAGGUAUUCUCCUAUGUUGUGGCUUCAUUGCCAUUUCGUUUUUGUGCUACUGAUAUUUUCUAUACACGGUCGCGGGAAGGACACAAUUUGAGCGAAGCACUAGCAAGCCUGAAGGAGUUGGACUUCAUCACUCGGAAAGAUAGCCCAGUUGGCUAGCUGGCUAACUACAGUAGCUAAUCUGCAAAUGACUUUUUGACUGUUUUUCGCUAGUCAGUUACUUAAAUGACAGACGAAUAAAGCCAACAAAAAAAACUAAUUUGGGUAUUAUUAUAUAACUAUGCCUCCAUGUAUACCUUAAAUAUUUUAUAAAUAGCUAGGCUACUUGUUGGCAUUUUUCCAGCUUAGCUAGCUACUUCUCCAUUAUUAGCUUGCUAGUUUUGUGCUUGAUUGCACUCUGUAGAGGUUAACAUCAAGAGUAAGCUGUGCUACAAGUUUUUGUCUUUUAAAGUGCAUUGCAGACAAUUUUAGCAUGAUAGCUUAUUUUCUAGUAUGCUUGUUCUAAUCCUGACUUAACCAAUGUUGUAGAUUGCUUGCUUUCCUUUCUAACUUAUGUUCCAAGUUGACUUGUUUUUUGAUGUUCGACCUUAGCAGGGCUGUAUUUAAAUCCUUAUAAAGUAAAACAGUUGGCUUAAUUGUUUUGCAUUUCCUGGAGCAGAACAAGUUCUGUGUCAGUAACACCAUUGUUCAGGGAGAUCCUUGAAAUACACCAUUCAAGUAAAGUCAUUUACCAUCUCGUGUUUCCCCUCAUUGAAAUGUAAUGAUGACAUUGUCAAUAGAAUAACAAUCCUGAAUGGUCAAAUUUUUUUAAAUAAAUGCUAGUUCCCAAGAUGUAUUCACUCUUUUAUAAUAACUUAGCUUCAUGAUUCUGCGCUGGCCUGUAGGGGGCGAUCAAGGUCAGAAUUGACCUUGUGUUUUCAUUCCAUGCCCUUAGCCACUGCUAUCCGGGACAGUUGUACAUACAGGAUUAUCAACUAUACGGAUCUGUGAACAUUUG